UACGUAGGUGGCAAGCGUUGUCCGGAUUUAUUGGGCGUAAAGAGCGUGUAGGCGGCUUUACAGGUCCGUUGUGAAAACUCGAGGCUCAACCUCGAGACGCCGGUGGAAACCGUAAAGCUAGAGUCCGGAAGAGGAGAGUGGAAUUCCUGGUGUAGCGGUGAAAUGCGCAGAUAUCAGGAGGAACACCGGUGGCGAAGGCGGGUCUCUGGGCCGAUACUGACGCUGAGGAGCGAAAGCGUGGGGAGCGAACAGG
rnacentral:rRNA from 1 species